AUGGGCCAUGUUAUCCUCCACGUCAGAUCCAGCCUAGUUUGGGCUUGGCGGGCCUGGGGCAGAUCCAUGACGGCCAAGAACCGUCAUGGGAAUGAGGCGGAAGAGUCGACGGCAUUCGCGACCGUUGGUGGGGCUCGCCGGACCGGAGCGUCUUCGCCGGAGUGCCGCAGAUUGAAGGUAAUGCUCCAUCCCACACUCACAUUCCUGCCUGCAUUCCCCCUCCCAUAUGUGGUUAAUUUCCGCUCUAGAUUCCUCGAGAUUCCGGUGGUUUCACGGUGCUCCGGCGUCCCCGUCGGCGGUGGAGUCCGGUGCUUGCCGUUUAGGGCGGCAUUGCGCAGUUUCGUCGCCGCCGCGGUGGCAGCCAUGCCGAUGUGGAUCGGCCUGUCCACAGCCACAUCCGGGUUCUGCCUUGCGAUUGAGCCGGCGAUUUUUCUAGAUGUUAGUUAUGUAUUGCUUCAGAAUGCUAAGGCCAUCAGUUAUAAUGGCAGCCAUGGCAUUUUCAGCAACUAUCUUCACUGGAUGGCAACUAAUUUCCUGAUCAACCGUGUCAGUUGCCACAAAUAUGCUUUCCAUGUGGCAACUAAAUUUGUGAACACACUAUGGCUGUUGCCAUUCUCACAAUGGCUCGCGGCGACCAUCAAGACGAUGAUGAUGACUUCAUGGAGUUACCGCAACAGAAUCGCGCAACUGGUCGUACAAAAGAUGGCGAUGAGGGCUUCACAAGAACGCCUGACUAUAUUGACUGAGGGAUUUACUGACGAGCAGAAGGGAGCUGCUGAUGAGAUGGGGAUGCAGGCUCUGAUGGAUGUUCGGUGCAAGAACCUAGUGAACCCUGCAUGCGACUGGCUCGGUGAGAUUUAUGAUCCUGCCUCCAGGGAAUUUGUGAUUUCGGGACGUGGAAGACUGCCUUUGGACGAGGAAUCCGUGUUCUGCACUUUGGGAAGCCUUUUUCGCCCGUUUGUUUCCUGGGACGACAUCCAUGCCGAAUACGACUGUGCUGGCAACUUCGCUGGAGGGCAUGAAAACCCAUGGCGAGUUUUUAAGAUGAAGCUCCUCAUGUACCCGAUCUCAGCUGUUUUUGCGCCUACCACAUCUCUUCGCCCAAGCAACAAGUGCUUCCCCAUCCCGGUGAAUGCUCUAUCUCUACUCCUUUCUUCCUUCAAUCUUUUGAUUCUGAUGUCAUCUUUGAAAGAUGUGAAGAACAUGAAUUGGUGUAAAUUCAUCGCGGACUUCCUGCAUGAUGCAUUCGCAAACAAGAAGUACCAGAAGGGCUGUCGACUGCACUUAAUGCUCAUGUACGUUGAUCGUCUUGAUCUGUCCACCAUCGACUUUACUGGGAUAGGAGGCCCGCCGCCUCCACAUAAGUUUGCUGUCUCUGCGUGGACGUACGAUGCUGUCAAGGCUGUGCUUGCCGCAGACCGGGUAACUGAUACGAAAUAUGGGAAACUGCAGCUGAUGGCCAAGCAUGCCAUAGACUAUAGCGUGUUUGGCGGGCUCAAAACUUUGGCAAGUGGUUGGGCGUGCACUCAGCUUCGUCUUGUCCUGCCGAGCUUGCUCGGGAAGUUGGUUGAGGGUUGGACGGCACUUAAUGGCUCAGACAGCGAUGCGGUUGCGAGGCAGUUCACACCAUUUGUUGCAGAACGGACACAUCGGCCAACUGGUUGCCGUGGCCGGUACGACUACAACAGCUCCCAGGAGCUUCCUGACACGCAAGAUGAACUAGAUGGAGAUGGUGGUCUCGACAAGGAUGAUGAUGACAUGGAGAAUGUGCAACAUGAAACCGACGAUGAUGAACAUGUUGAAGUUCGUUCAGGUGGUAAGAAGGACAAGGCUGCACCAGAUGUCCCCCCACCGGAGAAAGUCAUUGAACAGACAGUUGCGAGAGACAAGGGGGUGUUGCCCUUAAAGAAGGGCAGGGCUCCAGAGGAUGUUGGGCAGGGCUCUGUUGGCAAGAGGUCUAGGACCGAUCCCUUAGCUGCAAGGAGGAGUGAGGCGACAGCUGGUGGACGAGCAGUUAUGAAGAAACAAGCACCAACGCCAACCCGUGUUUCUGCCCGAUUGAACAAGGGUGCCCCCAUUGCUGGUGACACCCCUUCCACUAGGUCGUCUCCUCGUACGUCGAUGUCCAACACCGAGGAUCCUGUCGUGUUGGUAGACUUGAGGAAGACAGUCAAGAAAUCAUACACAACCUUUCUAGUUUAUACAUUUAUGCGGCAACUACCCGUUUGCUUUUUCAAUGCAGCUGUCCAGCUUUCCACAUGGGCUACUGCCAUCAGUCCCACAUGGCAACUGCUAUUUUCUCAUGAUCUAUUUUUUUGCUGCAUGGCAACUCCUUCUUGUUCUGCAUGGCAACUGCUAACUAGGCCACAUGGCAAUUCUUAUUCCACUUAUAUGGCAACUACCAGCUUUCCACUGGCUACCAACCCCCUACAUUGUCUUGUGAAGAAGACUACUACACGCGUGACCAAGCCGAACACUAGAGACCCACUCGAACGCAUUCAUUCAAAGCUGUCGACAGGUGGCAACUCAGAUGUUCAUGAGGCGCCAGUCGACAAAACUGCUGCUGCACCAUCCACUGUUUCCACUAGCUCUGAUGCAAGCGGCCAACCAUCUCCACAGGAUGCUGUUGUGACCCAUGCCACCCGAUCAGCAAGUGUUGAAGUGGACGCUCCCGAUAUCAACCUAAGCAAGGAAGAUUCCCGCUCAUCUGAUACGGAUUCCAAGCGCGUGGGUGGUGGCACUUCUGCGUCCACAAAAGAAGGGGCUGCGGCGACAAUUCAGAAUGAGAUGCCAUCCACAGGUGAGACUCUUGGCACAACAGCCCCAGCUUCUGGUGGUCCAGAGGUUGCUACGGCGACCGUUUCGCGAGCUGGUCUUCCACCUAGGCGUCGUAGUCCCUGCAAGCAAUCUACAGACAUACCCAACGCACCAGCUGUAGUUAGGAGCAGCAGAGAUGACUCUGGUUAUGUGCCUGCAUCCACACUGUUCCCACCACCUGCCAAAAGCAAUUUUAUGGAGAAAACGGAAGUCCAGAGUACAACUGACCCAGGUGGCAAGCCGGGCACGACUGACGGAGGUGAACGUCCGGAGCAGACUGUGUCUUUACCCGCCGUGGAGAACCCCAGCUUAAAUCUGCGCACUUCUAAGCUCCCAGUCAACAUUGGUGUCCCCUACAGCCCAAACAAGAAGAUUGGCAAGAAACAAGUUGUUCGCGGUCCGGCUAGUAGGCAGGAGAGGCACCCAAUGGCUUUCACCCCACCGAGCUUUAGCCUUGGCAUCGAUCACAGUCAAGAUGAACCAGUGGUGCAAGAUCCUAUGCCAGUUGCCUUUGCUUUCCCGACAGGCAUGACCCCAAUGAUGGCGCAGCCAAUGGCUGAUGGCAGGAAGGCUGUGAAGUUUGCAAAGCCGAUAGUGCAAGGAUGUAUACCCUCAUCUGCUCCUCAGACAGCCCUCCGGGAGGCGGUCGAACAGCCCCCCCGGACGGUGUCGCGGACAGCCCUUCUGGAGGACCUUCGAAAAUCGAACGGUCACUCGGACAGCCCUUCGGGAGGACCUUCGAAACUCGGACGGAUUGAGGAGGCAGCAUUGCAGAGGAGGUCCUCACGAGGUCAGGGGCAAUCAAGUUCUAACGUGCCCGUUGAGUCGGUAUCUGAGGAUACCGUUAGAAGUUCCACCCCUGGUUCUGUGAGGCAGCAUAGGGUAGUUCACGCACCACCCACGGAUGACUAUGAGCCCGAAGUGAAGGCUACAAAGGACCAGAACCAGCUGUACGAUAUUGUCAAGCGUUUUGGAAAUGCGAGGUCCAACAACAAGCACAUGAAGGAGCUGAAAGCAACCAAGAUCAUACAAUGUGAUGCGACGUACGUUGACCUGGGUGAUCUUGCUGAGUCUGUGAGGCCACUCGGUAAAAUGUCAAAGAAUGUAGUUGCAUGUGGGAUUGACUUCAUCAACAGGCAUAUGGAUAUUUGUCCCGACAAAACAAUCAUGCAGUACAGUGUGACGUGCAAAAUAUGGGAUGGUGAGUUCCACCAUAAAAUCCUGAGGAAGCAUUUUGCUGGGCAUGGUGAAUUCAAGCUCACAAUGAAGAAAUGUGAGCUUGCACCAGACAACCCAGAUGACAAGUGUGGUCACCACUACACGAUUUGCCUUGACCUGAAGAACCAAAGAUUUGAGGUGCUUGAUUCAAUGCGCUCAGAAGCUAAUGAAGACCUUACUACGCAUGCUGAAUACUUCAUCAUCCACCUCAAAGAGACAUGGAACCGUCACUACGAAAACUCAAAGGUCCAGAUCAGACAUUUUCCAAUCAAGUACGUCGCGUCUACGAAGCAAGGAAACCGGCACGCCUAUGGCUUUCACACGUUGGAAUACCUUGCAAAGUGGGAAGGUCGACGGGUCCCUGUCGUCACAGCUGCAAUGGUCGUCGAGCUCCGCAAAAUAUACACAUGGAACUGGUUGAUGAAUGAAGACUUCAACACGCGGGCCAACGCGCGAGAGUUCAUAGAGGAAGCUGUCAAGAAAGCCAACAAGAAGUACAAGUGA
rnacentral:rRNA from 1 species